UACGGAGGGUGCGAGCGUUGUUCGGAAUUACUGGGCGUAAAGCGCGUGCAGGCGGCCGACUAAGUCAGGUGUGAAAGCCCGGGGCUCAACUCCGGAAUUGCCUUUAAAACUGCAUCGCUAGAAUUGUGGAGAGGUAAGUGGAAUUCCGAGUGUAGAGGUGAAAUUCGUAGAUAUUCGGAAGAACACCAGUGGCGAAGGCGGCUUUCUGGACCGACACUGACGCUGAGGCGCGAAAGCUAGGGGAGCAAACGGG
rnacentral:rRNA from 1 species